CACCAUGUGAAGAAGGUCCUUGCUUCCUCUUCAUCAUCUAUCAUGAUUGCAAGUUUAGGCCUCCUCAGCCACGUGCAACUGUUAUUUCACCCUGAAGCCAAAGAGAACUUUCUGAAAGACAAAUUUGCUCAUGCUAUAAUAGUUACUGACAAAUAUUUAAAGGACUAAGUUGUGUAAGGAAUCUACACUGUCAGGCAGAACCAGGAUUCCUGGAAGUAGAACUGGGCUGCUUCAUAAGUCUGACUUCAUAUGACAGCUAGAUUCAAAAGGAUGAAAUCAGUAGAGGUGAGACCUCUUGAUGCCUUGGCUUGGAAGUCACAUAUUCUAUUGGCCAAAGCAAAUCACAAGGCCACCACAAAUUCAAGGAGAUGAAGAAAUAGACUCUACCUCUCUUGAUUGGGUUAUAAUAUGGUCAGUUCUUCAGAGGAAGAGGAAAAUUUCAUCUGGCCUCAAAUCUCAGUGAUCGCAUUUGUGGGAACAUAAUGUCUGAAGUAAAGACUAAGUAGAAGUCUGACAAGCAAAAAAAGAAAAAAAGACAAAGACACUCCAAGCAAGAGAAACAACCUGAGCAGAAGCACCCAGGUAUGACAGAAAACGUAGAGAGGAAAGGCUUCCAAAAGCAACAGAGAUUCACAGGAAGCUCCACAGAAAAACGGGUGGUGCAAAAAAUUAGGCAAGAGGGAAAAUGGGGUUAGGCCAUGUACCAACAUGUUCAUCAUUAUACAGUGAUUGGACUUGGAAAGGCAGAAGAGAAGCAAGAGCCAGCAUCCUCAUCUUAUAAACAGAAAAGCUGUCUGGGCGUGGUGGCUCAUGCCUGUAAUCCUAGCACUUUGGGAGGCCAAAGCGGGCGGAUCACGAGAUCAGGAGAUCGAGACCAUCCUGGCUAACACAGUGAAACCCCGUCUCUACUAAAAAUACAAAAAAUAUUAGCCGGGCAUAGUGGCGGGCGCCCGUAGUCCCAGCUACUCGGGAGGCUGAGGCAGGAGAAU
rnacentral:lncRNA from 10 species